rnacentral:rRNA from 1 species
AACGAACGCUGGCGGCAUGCCUAACACAUGCAAGUCGAACGAGAUCUUCGGGUCUAGUGGCGCACGGGUGCGUAACGCGUGGGAAUCUGCCCUUUGGUUCGGAAUAACAGUUGGAAACGACUGCUAAUACCGGAUGAUGACGAAAGUCCAAAGAUUUAUCGCCAGAGGAUGAGCCCGCGUGGGAUUAGCUAGUUGGUGUGGGAAAGGCGCACCAAGGCGACGAUCCUUAGCUGGUCUGAGAGGAUGAUCAGCCACACUGGGAAUGAGACACGGCCCAGACUCCGACGGGAGGCAGCAGUGGGGAAUAUUGGACAAUGGGCGAAAGCCUGAUCCAGCAAUGCCGCGUGAGUGAUGAAGGCCUUAGGGUUGUAAAGCUCUUUUACCCGGGAUGAUAAUGACAGUACCGGGAGAAUAAGCUCCGGCUAACUCCGUGCCAGCCGCCGCCGUAA